UACGUAGGGGGCUAGCGUUGUCCGGAAUCAUUGGGCGUAAAGCGCGUGUAGGCGGUUCGGUAAGUCCGCUGUGAAAGUCGGGGGCUCAACCCUCGGAUGCCGGUGGAAACUGUCGGACUAGAGUACGGAAGAGGCGAGUGGAAUUCCUGGUGUAGCGGUGAAAUGCGCAGAUAUCAGGAGGAACACCAAUUGCGAAGGCAGCUCGCUGGGACGUUACUGACGCUGAGACGCGAAAGCGUGGGGAGCAAACAGG
rnacentral:rRNA from 1 species